rnacentral:rRNA from 1 species
ACGGAGUUAGCCGGUGCUUAUUCCUAGGGUACCGUCACUAUCUUCCCCUAGAAAAGAGCUUUACGACCCAAAGGCCUUCUUCACUCACGCGGUAUUGCUGCGUCAGGCUUUCGCCCAUUGCGCAAAAUUCCCC